CGUCGUGUCGAUUUUACUGAUCAUCACUUACAAUUAUUUUGUUUAAAAUGAAGAGCAAUGUCAACUAUAAGUUUGACAAUUGUUAUGUUUAUUGCACUCAAUAGUUAAUUUAGUGCAAUAUAAUAUAAAGAAGAUCAUAUGUAAAUAGAUUCUUAGAAUAUAAAUGGGUGUUACAACCAGCGUGGAAGUUCUUUCUGAGAUCUAGGUGUAGACACGUCUGCCUGGGGCCUGUUCCAGGUCUCCUUUUAUACGCCGUUUCCCAGACUCGCGCGGUGACGCGAUAUAAAAAAAAUAGUUU